AACGCGAAGAACCUUACCAGGGUUUGACAUCCUGGGAAUCUUUCCGAAAGGAAAGAGUGCCUUCGGGAAUCCAGUGACAGGUGUUGCAUGGCCGUCGUCAGCUCGUGUCGUGAGAUGUUUGGUUAAGUCCAUCAACGAGCGCAACCCUUAUAGUUAGUUGAAUUUCUCUAGCUAGACUGCCCCGGUAACGGGGAGGAAGGAGGGGAUGAUGUCAGGUCAGUAUUACCCUUACACCCUGGGCUACAAACACGCUACAAUGGCCGGUACAAAGGGCAGCUAAGUCGCGAGACGGAGCAAAUCCCAUCAAAGCCGGUCUCAGUUCGGAUAGCAGGCUGAAACUCGCCUGCUUGAAGCUGGAAUUGCUAGUAACGGUAGGUCAGCACACUACCGUGAAUACGUUCCCGGGCCUUGUA
rnacentral:rRNA from 1 species